rnacentral:rRNA from 1 species
AUGGAGCUCGUCCAGGAGCUCGUCGACCACCGGAAUAGGAAACUUGUCCUUGAGCGUCAGGGCAUUAAGAGCGCGGUAGUCGAUGCAGAAGCGCCACGUGUCGUCCGACUUGCGGACGAGGAGGACCGGCGCCGAAAAUGGCGACGUGGACAUCCGGAUGAUGCCCAAGGCGAGCAUGAGCAUGCACUGCCGCUCCAGCUCGUCCUUCUGCAGCUGGGGAUAGCGGUAGGGGCGCACUACAACCGGCGCCGUGCCCGGCAGGAGAUGAAUGCGGUGAUCAUACACCCGGGCUGGCGGAAGGCCCUGAAGCUCGUCGAAGAGGUCGCGGUGCUGCUACAGGAGGUGAUCCAGCAAGGGAUGCUCGAGCUCGGUGGCGGCCGCGGCCAGCUGAAGCUGCGGCGUCGCUGGAGAUGCGCCAUCCACGCCCUCCCACCGGACGCGGCGACCCUGGCGCCAGAAGGUCAUCGUCAGGGCGUUGAAGUCCCAGAGGAUGGGACCAAGGGUCCGCAAGAAGUCAACGCCGAGGAUGAAGUCGAAGCAGCCCAAGUCGAUGCCCACACACGUGAUGGUGAAGUGCUUGUCGCCGAUAGUGAUGGGCACGUUCCGUGCCAGCCCAUGACACCGGAGGCGGUCGCCAUUAGCCACCGUGACCCAAAGUUGCUCCCCGCCCGUCGGCUGAAGCGCUAA